GAUGAACGCUAGCGAUAGGCUUAACACAUGCAAGUCGAGGGGCAGCACAAGGUAGCUUGCUAUCUGGGUGGCGACCGGCGCACGGGUGCGUAACGCGUAUGCAACUUGCCCUAUACAGGAGGAUAACCCGUCGAAAGACGGACUAAUACUGCGUAUGCUCACAACUUGGCAUCAAGUGGUGAGGAAAGAAAUUCGGUAUAGGAUAGGCAUGCGUCCCAUUAGCUUGUUGGUGAGGUAACGGCUCACUAAGGCAACGAUGGGUAGGGGAACUGAGAGGUUUAUCCCCCACACUGGUACUGAGACACGGACCAGACUCCUACGGGAGGCAGCAGUGAGGAAUACUGGUCAAUGGGCGCGAGCCUGAACCAGCCAAGUCGCGUGAAGGAUGACUGUCUUAUGGAUUGUAAACUUCUUUUAUACGGGAAUAACAAGAGUCACGUGUGACUCCCUGCAUGUACCGUAUGAAUAAGCAUCGGCUAACUCCGUG
rnacentral:rRNA from 1 species